GACGUAGGGUGCAAGCGUUGUCCGGAUUUAUUGGGCGUAAAGAGCUCGUAGGCGGCUUGUUGCGUCGACUGUGAAAACCCGCGGCUUAACCGCGGGCUUGCAGUUGAUACGGGCAGGCUAGAGUUCGGUAGGGGAGACUGGAAUUCCUGGUGUAGCGGUGAAAUGCGCAGAUAUCAGGAGGAACACCGGUGGCGAAGGCGGGUCUCUGGGCCGAUACUGACGCUGAGACGCGAAAGCGUGGGGAGCAAACAGG
rnacentral:rRNA from 1 species